rnacentral:rRNA from 1 species
AACGAACGCUGGCGGCAUGCCUAACACAUGCAAGUCGAACGAGACCUUCGGGUCUAGUGGCGCACGGGUGCGUAACGCGUGGGAACCUGCCCUUAGGUUCGGAAUAACUCCCCGACAGGGGUGCUAAUACCGGAUAAUGUCUUCGGACCAAAGAUUUAUCGCCUUUGGAUGGGCCCGCGUUGGAUUAGCUAGUUGGUAGGGUAAAAGCCUACCAAGGCGACGAUCCAUAGCUGGUCUGAGAGGAUGAUCAGCCACACUGGGACUGAGACACGGCCCAGACUCCUACGGGAGGCAGCAGUGGGGAAUAUUGGACAAUGGGCGAAAGCCUGAUCCAGCAAUGCCGUGUGAGUGAUGAAGGCCUUAGGGUUGUAAAGCUCUUUUACCCGGGAUGAUAAUGACAGUACCGGGAGAAUAAGCUCCGGCUAACUCCGUG